CCUACGGGAGGCAGCAGUGAGGAAUAUUGGUCAAUGGACGAGAGUCUGAACCAGCCAAGUAGCGUGAAGGAUGACUGCCCUAUGGGUUGUAAACUUCUUUUAUAUGGGAAUAAAAUGUUCCACGUGUGGGAUUUUGUAUGUACCAUAUGAAUAAGGAUCGGCUAACUCCGUGCCAGCAGCCGCGGUAAUACGGAGGAUCCGAGCGUUAUCCGGAUUUAUUGGGUUUAAAGGGAGCGUAGGUGGAUUGUUAAGUCAGUUGUGAAAGUUUGCGGCUCAACCGUAAAAUUGCAGUUGAAACUGGCAGUCUUGAGUACAGUAGAGGUGGGCGGAAUUCGUGGUGUAGCGGUGAAAUGCUUAGAUAUCACAAAGAACUCCGAUUGCGAAGGCAGUUCACUGGACUGCAACUGACACUGAGGCUCGAAAGUGUGGGUAUCAAACAGGAUUAGAUACCCCAGUAGUC
rnacentral:rRNA from 1 species